rnacentral:rRNA from 1 species
CCUACGGGUGGCAGCAGUGGGGGAUAUUGCACAAUGGGGGGAACCCUGAUGCAGCGACGCCGCGUGGGUGAAGGAGGGUUUCGGCGCGGAAAGCCCUAUCGGCAGGGAAGAAGGAGGACGGGACCGGACGAAGAAGCACCGGCUAACUACGUGCCAGCAGCAGCGGUAAGACGUAGGGGGCAAGCGUUAGCCGGAUUUACGGGGUGUAAAGGGGGCGCCGAGGGCAGCGCAAGGCAGGCGUGAAAGCCCGGGGCCCCACCCCGGGACUGCGCUUGUGACGGCGCGGCUGGAGUGCAGGAGGGGCAGGCGGAAUUCCUGUUGUAGCGGUGACAUUCUUAGAUAUCAGGAGGAACCCCGGUUGCGAAGGCGGCCUGCUGGACUGCGCCUGCCGUUGAGGCCCGAAAGCGUG